GUUUAAUUCUUAUUUUCUUUUUAUUUAACAAGAUUUACAAUUGUGAUUUUCCGAUGCAGUAGAAAACAAUAAAUUCAGCUUUUUUCAGAACUUUCAUGGCAUAAAGCGUUCCACUAUCUUUACCAACAACUUUCCUCACUAAGAAUACCUGAAUAAGGAUCCUUGACCAAGAACUUUGAGCAGUUCAAACUGAGAUGGACCUGCCUUUUCAUGACCAUCCCGAACCACUUCGCGUAGUUCAAUUUCAU